rnacentral:rRNA from 1 species
GGUGAACGCUGGCGGCGUGCUUAACACAUGCAAGUCGAACGAUGAAGCCCAGCUUGCUGGGUGGAUUAGUGGCGAACGGGUGAGUAACACGUGAGUAACCUGCCCUUGACUCUGGGAUAAGCCUGGGAAACUGGGUCUAAUACUGGAUAUGACUUCUCAUCGCAUGGUGGGGGGUGGAAAGAUUUAUUGGUCUUGGAUGGACUCGCGGCCUAUCAGCUUGUUGGUGAGGUAAUGGCUCACCAAGGCGACGACGGGUAGCCGGCCUGAGAGGGUGACCGGCCACACUGGGACUGAGACACGGCCCAGACUCCUACGGGAGGCAGCAGUGGGGAAUAUUGCACAAUGGGCGCAAGCCUGAUGCAGCGACGCCGCGUGAGGGAUGACGGCCUUCGGGUUGUAAACCUCUUUCAGUAGGGAAGAAGCGAGAGUGACGGUACCUGCAGAAGAAGCGCCGGCUAACUACGUG